GGCUUUUGCAAAUCCUCUUCUUAGGCUCUCUGCAGAUAUUGAGAGGAGAACAUAAGAGCACUGCUGACAGAGGAGUUGAUUCUACUAAUUGGUGGGAUCUCUAAAACUUUAGCAUCUCGUGUGGAUGUAGUCCAUUUUUGUGUUUUGCAUAUGGGAAAACAGAUGUAUAGAAGAAUUAAGUGAUAUCAUGGACUACCUUUGUCUAGCAACAUGAACCGACUCUCAUCCCAAAUGAGAACCAAAUUGUGACAAAAGAGUAAGAACAACCCCUCCACCUCAAUAGUCCGAGCAAAUACAGAGUCUUUGAAAGCUUCCAAAAUUAAACCAUGUCAAACUGCUACAGGCAAAGGUAUAUAACUAUCGUCACUCGCCUGAGAUGCUCCACUGACAUAGAUGGUUGUCGUUGUGAUGGAAAUAGGACAAGAAAUGGUUUUUCAGAUAAUGAGGUCUUGAGACUUUGGAGGGUGUAGCUAAAGAUCACCAUUCUACCUCCAGAAAAUAACAUAGAUUUAUUUCAUUAGUGUGAGAGUUUCUUUACUUUUAGAUUCAUAAAUAUGAAAUAGGGAUGGAAAGGAAUAUAAGUUUAUUGGGGGCAGGGGUUGGGCUUUUUUGUUUUUUUAAUUUUCCUUUCUCACAUACAAGUGUUCAGUCAGUCUAAGGGUUAAUGAAUUAUUUUUCUGGAUUAAAAAUAAACCUAGUUUUCUUCAUUUUGCGUUAAUGAAAACAAAUGGGAAGGAAGGUAUAUGACUUGUGUAUCUAGGACAUAUAAAAGCUCAUGUUUUUGAACAACUCACAAAGUCAGCCACAAUCUUCAUCAUUGAUUUACCGAUUCCAGUGUUAUCUUGGGGCAAAUACUACAGUUAUGUAAAGUCCACAAAAAAACCCCAACAUUAUUUAACAUUCUUUCAUUUAAUUCAUAGUACAGCAUCGAUUGCAUCGCAACUAAUGGCUUUAAAUACAAGCAGCUUUUCAAACCCUAUGCAUUUCCAAACCAGCCUUCAGUAAGAAUGACACUACCACAUCAAUUACUAGCACAGGCCAGCUAUAAAAUUACAAAACCACUCAGCCAUCUAUAUAAUUAAAUGCAAACCAAAGUAGUCAAGCAAAUGUUAAAGAAAAUGUCUUCAUAUGGUAAACUUUGUAGGUAAAGGCCUACAUCUACUCUUCUACUUGGGAAGAAAUAUACCUUUGUAUCUCAUAGGUAUGCCAGGUAUCUGCUUCCCACUCUUUCAAACAGCAUUUAUAGCUGAUAAAUACAGAACUCUCAGCUGGUACUGUCUGUUGCUCUGUUGAAUUCAGUAUCUUAAUCACAAAUACCAGAGAAUCAAGUAAAAGAGGUGUGAAACAAAAGUGGCUGCAUAAUGCCUGGGUGUGUCCUGAUAAUGUAGGACUUGGUCUCUGCCUGGCUCUUAAUUGCUUACAUAAUUCUCCUGAGCUAACUAGCAUUGCUUUUGUUAAUAAUGUAAUUUUGCAGUUUCUUGGAUGCACUGUGAAGACAGAAGUGAAGCUGUGAAUCGAGGUUAAUUGAAAUGCUUACGUGAUGGUGAUGUGCCAGAUUCCCUGCUGUAAGUCUCAGGAGGAAACUUGCAGUAAGUGUAGCUUGGAGAGUAAGGACAAAGUGACCUUGGCUUUUCCUUUGCUGCUUUCUGCAUUUAGGUGAAGUUUAGGGCUCUGUGGCCCAUAGGUGUAAGUCAGCAGUUCGAGAGGGUGCUGUGAUUUAUGAAAUCCUCCCCACUGUGCUGUCAGUAGGCUGUUUACGCCUCACAGUACCUUAGAGCAGAGGAGGAUUUCUGACACUGUUCUUUCUGCUGUGAGCAUUAUCUCCAGCACUUCAUUUACAUGACACAUGCUAAAGGUUACAAAAUUGGAAACGUGCAGGAGUACAAAGCUUCUGGUCCCUUGAAAGUGCUGGCCAGAGCUUCUCAAAGCUGCUUCUGCCUCCUUUUAAUUCUGACAAAGGGACUAAGGAUUGAUUCUGACCCGUCAUUUGCAUGCCUGUAAUAUUUAUUUCUUUCAGUGAACACAUACCUGUAUGAACAAAACCAUUUUUGAUAGUUUAUUGUAGAUUUAAGAUCAAACAUUUAAACACUAACUUCCCAAAAGGGAACCCAAAGUCCAGAAUUAAGUAAAUAGGCUCCUCAUAGAAAACCUGAGGAGAAUCAGAUGUGUUAGAAAGGGAGCCCAACUGUGCAAUGAACAGGACUUAUAAGAAAUGUGCCCAAAGCCCCAUGUUUUCCCAGAUAAGACGUAAUAUGAACCAGCAUGUCCAUUCUGAUCCGAUCCAGAAUUCUUUAGCAGAGUGAGAACCCCUGUACCUGUUCUCCUUUCUCUGUCUUAUGGCAAUUCAUGUUGUGUAGUUCACCUCUAAAAAAAGUUCCUAGCCACUAUUUUGCAGGGUGGUGUGUGGUUUUGCCUCUUUAAGAAUGCCUUCUGCUAAAGAAGUCUUUAUGCAGAAAAGUGCACCAAUAAGAAGAUAGGGAUGCCAGGAAGAAAAGGCUCUGUAGCCUAUCGAAGAGAGCACUCAGCAGAAUGGAGGCAGAGAGGAAAUCCAGCUAUAAAACGUUCUGAUGGGUAACAUGCUAUUCCUAAACUACAAAGAACUGACUACAUGUAGGACAGCAUUGACUUAUGGGGUGAAAUAAGGAGAAAGCUGUCAAAGGACUGGGUAUGCCUGAAGCAGAAGAAAGGGGAAAUUCUUCCUCACAUUGAAGCUGUUGACCUGCACAAAGUCACCAAGUUUGUUGGGUCAGAGAGGGAGAGCAUGAGAAUCAUGGCUUUCUACUCUGGGAACCAGCGUGCUCCCUUGGGAGGUAUGUCCCCAUCCCUCACUGUCUGGACAAAAUCUAAGUGGUAACAGGAAGAAGUGAGCAUAGCCUGCCUCAACCAGCCUCUGCUGAGGUGUCUCUGCUACCUAAGUAAAUGCUCUGAUCAUUGAGCUGUUGCGUAAUUGGGGACUUUCCUCCAACACAGUUUAUCCCCUCCUUUGUUUUUUUUCCAGCCAAAACUAUUCAGCAAAUUUGAAGCAAAUAGUUUAGACAUGACUGAAACCACAUUUUCCGGGGAAUUAACUAUUAAAAUAAAUAAAUAAAUCAUCCAGCUCUAACUAUUACCACUUCUAAAAUCUAUGCUGAUUCUUUUCCAUGUAAAUUAAAAUCUUUUUUUUUUUUUUAAACAUAACAGUUUGACCCAUCUACCCAGACAGGGUAGUAAAUUAGGCUCAUUACUUAUGCUGUUCUGGAGUGCACAGUGUCUGUUAUAGUACUUACAACUAAAGCUUAUUUCUUCAGUUUACCAAUCUUUUCCUCUCUUUGCAGCCUCUAUCAUCCCAUCAAUUCCAACAGUUGGUCCCUGUAGGAGAGGGGACUCUUCACUAUUACAUUUUCAUCCUUUUCCAGUCAACUAAUUUAAAACUAAUAAAGUACUUUUUUCACUGGGCCUACUGCUAACUUGUUGAUAGUUUAGAUUAUGCCAUACUACUAGAUACAAGUUAAACCAUUGGAAACAAACAAAAAAAGGAUAUCUCUAGAUGUACUUGAGAAUAGUAGGAAAUGUUGCAGUAAAACAGAAUUCCAGCUCUGAACCAAGUGCUGGACUUGAUGUUGCCUGUAGAGUGGCAGCUUGAAGAGAGAUUUCACUACAGAAAAGAACAAAAUUUGGGGUUUUUUUCAGAAUUUUCCAAGCAGUUGUGCAAGACUCCCCCAUGACCUGCGUCGCAGGCAGAUGCGUAGCCCACAGAGUCAGUCGGGUGGUACGACCACAGCCCAGACCCCCUGAUCUUACAAGGCCUGGAAGCUCUUGACCUUGAGCUGUCAAAAAGACUCAGGUAGAUCAUGUCAGAUAUGCUGGAAGGAAAGCAGCAGCUAGGGAUUUGGGGACAAGCUGUUUGCUUUCCACCAAAUUGGAAUUUGAUGGUAGAAAACUUUAGCCAGAACAAGGUGGGUUGGAACUAGAUUAUUGUCAAGGUCCUUUCCAACCUAAACCACUCUGUGAAUCCAUGAUUCUGUGAUUUUUGAUCAGCUCACUUGGGCCUUGUGGGACUCCAGCAUUGCAUCUCACCUUUCCAUCUGGUAGUUUCCAAAUACUCUCCCUAGGCCAUGGUGAGCAACUCUCUUGAUAUAUUUGUUGCAGCAUUUUCAAUUCCUGUUUGAUUCCGUGUGUGAUUUGCAGCUGGCUGGAAAAGUGAAGUGGUGGUUUGGCGCUUCAGAAGCCAGUGGAAGGAUGGUUGUAGACAUCCCUCUAGUGGCCCUGCAGCCUCUGGGAAGCCGGGAGCAGCUCCGGCAUCCCCGGGCUCAGCAUGCAUGCAGAUGCUGGCAAAUGGAUGCUCUCCUCUGUGGAGUUGGAUCCUCUGUAGAGCUGGGGAACUGUAAUGGCAGAUAAUAUUUCCCUUUUUCCCUUUCACCAAAAUUGUCCUUGAAACUCAGCACCAGUUCAGGCUGUUUAGAAUGUUUAUUUCAUGCAGGCCACAAUGCUGGAAGGACGUAUCCAUUUCACUGGCCACUGUAAAAAACAGGUGUACUGGGAGAUGAUAUGAGGGAAGGGUUAAUACUGUCUCUACGCUUUUUUAAAUGUCAGCUUAUUUAACCUAGAGAGAGAGCAAUUUUGUCAUCAUUGAAAAAACAGGCAAGUUAUACUUGAAGAUUAAUCAAAUGUUUCAGAUUUUCUUGUCUCUUUUAUACAAGACUGAUAGGAUACCAAGGGGGAAAAAAGCAAAAAAAUAAAGUGUAUGUAAAAUAAACAUAAGGAACAUUUAUUUGUACAUUUGUAGACUUUGGCUUCUCAACUGAAACUGUCAAUAAAAUGCUAAUUUUGCUUA